rnacentral:rRNA from 1 species
AGAGUUUGAUCCUGGCUCAGGAUGAACGCUAGCGGCAGGCUUAAUACAUGCAAGUCGAACGGGAUUCGAGGUAGCAAUACUUUGAUGAGAGUGGCGCACGGGUGCGUAACGCGUAUGCAACCUACCUUUAACAGGUGAAUAGCCCCGAGAAAUCGGGAUUAAUACACCGUAACAUUGCGAAGUGGCAUCACUAUGCAAUUAAAGAUUUAUCGGUUAAAGAUGGGCAUGCGUGACAUUAGCUAGUUGGUGAGGUAACGGCUCACCAAGGCCACGAUGUCUAGGGGUCCUGAGAGGGUUAUCCCCCACACUGGUACUGAGACACGGACCAGACUCCUACGGGAGGCAGCAGUAAGGAAUAUUGGUCAAUGGGCGCAAGCCUGAACCAGCCAUGCCGCGUGCAGGAAGACGGCCCUAUGGGUUGUAAACUGCUUUUGUCAGGGAAUAAACCUUUGUACGUGAUACAGAGCUGAAGGUACCUGAAGAAUAAGCAUCGGCUAACUCCGUGCCAGCAGCCGCGGUAAUA